rnacentral:sRNA from 1 species
UAGCUCAUAUUUGAGUCAAAGAAUAGCUUAAAGCUGGUCAUUCAGAGCCUACACUUAGCCCUUGGAACACAUCCAUUUUUGUAAUUAAGAAAAAUUCAGGUAAUUGGAGGUUAAUACAAGAUUUAAGGGCAAUAAAUCCUGCAAUUCAACCUACUGGAGCAUUAAAAUUUGG